CUAGGAUUCUAAUCUGGUUAGCUAGUGUACCCCAUUUCCAGUCUGGAAUGCAGCCCUUUAUUUAGGGCCCUGUUUUAUGUAGAUUCAGGGUUGGAGUGGGGAGCACACAGAGGGAGGACUCCCGCAGGGUAUCUGCACUGGAAGCAAGUGCGUGAGUCCCUGUCAUUUCCUGAGAGGAAGCAAACAGAUCUGCUUGUUAAACCAGGAUUGGGGUAACCCCGCACCUGGGCUCACAUGUUCCCACAGCAUUGACAGAGAAGUGAUGGAGCUUCAGUUUCAAGGCUCUGUGCUCAUUUUACAGGGAGAAAGCAAAAGCUGGGAGCAGAUGACGAGUACAACAUGGAUGAAAAUGAGGCGGAAUCUGAGACAGACAAGCAGGCGGCCCUCGUGGGGAAUGACAAAAACAGAAACGUUCUUAACGCUGAAAAUCAGAAAGGAGACUCGAUAAAUUUACUUGACCAGCCUGAAAAGAGGAAUCAAACACUCUGAAUCAAACUGGAAUCACAUACUUUGUUUCCGAAUUGAACAGAGAUCACUACAGAAUAUUCAUGAGGGAUGGAAUACUGUGAAAUGCACUAAGUAAACAUCUAAAGAUGACUGUUGUGGAGUUUUAGUGUGUAUUUACUAUGUAGGAAAAUGAGAUCGUCUUUGAGACUGUUUUGGGGGUACUUUUGAAGCGUCUCUAUUAAGAUGUCAAAAUCGUCGAAAUUUGUUGGCUAAUAGGUGUUUCUUGAGAAGAUCAACACCAAAAACAGAACCCAGGCUGUCCUUCAGGUGUGGCGCAGACGGUGGCGUGUUACCGUGCAGCAGGGCCGCGACGUGAAGGAGGCCCGCCGCGCGCUGACAGCACCUCUUCCUCCGUUUGCCCUGGAGUCACGCUCCCGGUGCUGAGCUGGGCGACGGGGACCAGCCCGUGACUUCCGCUCUUUCCUGCCGGCACUGAAUGGUUUUGGUUUAAUCCUCCUGUGCUCACUCCUAGUUCUGAUAGACAGCAGCUCAGAGCGCUGACUGUGAACACAGACAUCACUUUCAAUGGUGUUAAAAGCGUCCAAACACAAAGGGGUUCUGUGCGAGAAUCUUUAAAAAGGCUGCCUGUAUAAUAGCCCUUGUCAUUAAUGUGCAGAAUGCUUGUAAGUGACCUGUAACUUGAAUACCUGUGAUCUGUCCUUGCUUUGCCUUGCUCUGUGGGCAGAGCUGAAUCCUCUGUGCUAAAUCAAGCCAGGAGGAGCCGCGUGCCAAUCAGACCUUUGACACGA
rnacentral:lncRNA from 1 species